GCGGACGUGGCGGAACUGGCAGACGCGCGAGAUUUAGGUUCUCGUGGGCCCAUGGCCCGUGGAGGUUCGAGUCCUCUCGUCCGCA
rnacentral:tRNA from 1 species